CUACCAGACUCCUACGGGAGGCAGCAGUGAGGAAUAUUGGUCAAUGGGCGAGAGCCUGAACCAGCCAAGUCGCGUGAGGGAGUACUGCCCUAUGGGUUGUAAACCUCUUUUGUCGGGGAGCAAAAGCCGGACGUGUCCGUCUGUGAGAGUACCCGAAGAAAAAGCAUCGGCUAACUCCGUGCCAGCAGCCGCGGUAAUACGGAGGAUGCGAGCGUUAUCCGGAUUUAUUGGGUUUAAAGGGUGCGCAGGCGGAGUUUAAAGUCAGGGGUAAAACCGGGGGGCUCAACCCCAACCGGCCGUUGAAACUGGGGAUCUAGAGUGUGCGAGAGGUAUGCGGAAUGCGUGGUGUAGCGGUGAAAUGCAUAGAUAUCACGCAGAACCCCGAGUGCGAAGGCAGCAUACCGGCGGCGAUCUGACGCUGAGGCACGAAAGCGUGGGUAUCGAACAGGAUUAGAUACCCCUGUAC
rnacentral:rRNA from 1 species